rnacentral:rRNA from 1 species
AGCAAACGCUGGCGGCGUGCCUAAUACAUGCAAGUCGAACGAGGAAAGCUUUCGGGUGAGUACUAGUGGCGCACGGGUGAGUAACGCGUGGGUAAUCUACCAUCGAGUGGGAAUAACUAAUCGAGAGAUUAGCUAAUACCGCAUAAGACCACAGAAGCUACGGCUUCAGAGGUCAAAGGAGCAAUUCGCUUGAUGAUGAGCCCGCGUCGGAUUAGCUAGUUGGUAGGGUAAUGGCCUACCAAGGCAGUGAUCCGUAGCUGGUCUGAGAGGAUGAUCAGCCACACUGGAACUGAGACACGGUCCAGACUCCUACGGGAGGCAGCAGUAGGGAAUAUUGCGCAAUGGGGGAAACCCUGACGCAGCGACGCCGCGUGAGUGAUGAAGGCCUUGGGUCGUAAAGCUCUGUUGCAAGGGAAUAAGAAAGUGAAUGUACCUUGUGAGGAAGGAUACGGCUAACUUCGUGCCAGCAGCCGCGGUAA